UAACGAGUUUUAAUUGUUAAGGUGGAGUUGAGCUGGGUCUAAAUCUAAAUUAAUAUGUGCUUACUCUAAUCGAAACAAGUCCACUCAUUACCUUAAACACUGUGAAUGAACUUAUUCAUUACAAACAUUAUUAUUUGUUAUUGGACGUUUGAUUAUUAAAAAGUUAAUA
rnacentral:misc_RNA from 1 species